GCCUUGAGAGUGUCAGGGUUAGGGUCGGA
rnacentral:piRNA from 1 species